ensembl:lncRNA
UCUCGGUGCUGAAGGAGCAGGUCGGCUGGGGGCUCGCGGCGGAUCCUCUUGUACUCCACCAGCUGUGGAGGGAGAGGGGGAGGGAGGGAGAGGGUUAGGGAGGGAGGGGGUUAGGGAGGGAGAGGGUUAGGGAGGGAGAGGCCUUAGGGAGGGAGAGGCCUUAGGGAGAGAGAGACGUUAGGGAGAGAGAGAGGCGUUAGGGAGAGAGAGACGUUAGGGAGAGAGAGGCAGACGUUAGGGAGAGAGAGACGUUAGGGAGAGAGAGGCCUUAGGGAGAGAGAGGCCUUAGGGAGAGAGAGGCCUUAGGGAGAGAGAGGCCUUAGGGAGAGAGAGGCCUUAGGGAGAGAGAGGCCUUAGGGAGAGAGAGGCCUUAGGGAGAGAGAGGCCUUAGGGAGAGAGAGGCCUUAGGGAGAGAGAGAGAGGCACCAUGUGGCAAAAAGCAUUUUCAUGCUUUAUUCCUGAAGUUCUAUCGAUACUUUAAUUAGUUAAUGAAGGCGCUCUGAACAGAUUGCCCUGCUCCUCCAGGGGGCUCCACACACUGAACCAGAAAGGACCUGAAGCCAGCCGUGAAGAACCCGGUGGGACUGCCAAUAAAGACCCAAGUUCAGCACUUUAUCUUAUCCCAGUCAUUCUGCAUUCAUCGUUAGACAUACAUCGUGAUGUAUCGUUAUAGGAUUGUCUAACAGUACAUUGAUUAAUGCAGAAUCGCCGUAUGGUGUAUUAUUGGUAUCAUGAGGUAGCCUGUGACUCCCCCCCUACUAUGAACUAGUGUGGGGCUCAUGGACUGAUAGGAACACACACACACACACACACACACACACACACACACACACACACACACACACACACCCACACACACACACACACACACACACACACACACACACACACACACACACACACACACACACACACACCUUCCUCUCGACGCCUCCUUCUCAUGGUGCAGCAGGCUGAAGCUGUGGAGGCUGUACUUCGGAGGGGAGCUGCUGGGGGGCACCCCGCGGCCCGGAGCGGGGGGAAGGGGGAGCCUGCGGAGAGAGGGGUCACUGUAAGACCAGAGCAACACAACACAGAGCAACACAACACAGAGGGGUCACUGUAAGACCAGAGCAACAGAACACAGAGCAACAGAACACAGAGGGGUCACUGUAAGACCAGAGCAACACAACACAGAGCAACACAACACAGAGCAACACAACACAGAGCAACAG